GACGAACCGUGCGAACGUUGUUCGGAAUCACUGGGCUUAAAGGGCGCGUAGGCGGGCAUUCAAGUCUGUGGUGAAAUCCUCCAGCUCAACUGGAGAACUGCCAUGGAUACUGGUGUCUCGAGGGUGGUAGGGGUAUGCGGAACUAUCGGUGGAGCGGUGAAAUGCGUUGAUAUCGAUAGGAACUCCGGUGGCGAAGGCGGCAUACUGGACCACUUCUGACGCUGAGGCGCGAAAGCCAGGGGGAGCGAACGGG
rnacentral:rRNA from 1 species